AACCGUUCCACCCCUAAUUGCUAUUAAUUUCUUUUCUACUCUACUUUUCUAUCCUCCUAUUCCCUUCCCUCAACUGUUCUCUCAUACUGUGAGUAUGUUUAGAAGCAGCAGUGAGGAGAGACUCUCCCUCCUCUGACAGCAGUUUUGGGAAGCCAGCUAGACCGAUGAUUGCAGCUCUGCCCCUGAGAUCCACGGUCAACAACGGUACUGUCCUGCCUAAGAAGGGCGGCACACUGCCAUCCCCCUCCGGCUCCAAGAAGGGCAAUAACUCACCAGCAACCAAAAGUCUGUCCCAUCUGCCCAGGUUUCUUCUAAGGCCACCUUACAGGUGAGAGUUUUUCUACAUUCAGGAUCUGCAAUCUUCUAAAAAGUGAUGUGGGCUACUGAUAUUUUUGUAAUAAAAAAUGCUUUAAGGGUUUGUUUUUAAACCAUUAUUCAAGAACUGCUUAAAACCUUAGCAAACAUAGUCUGUGGUUCGACCAUAUUCUGUGGAGGCUGUUUAGGAAGUAGAUAAGCUUUGCUUUGAUUCUUGUGAAACUGGGCACUCUUUGGUUUGGACAUUUUAUUUUUUUUUUAGCUUCUCUUCAGGCACUCUUUCAUUGCAGCCUGUAAAGCUUCUUUUCCCAUCAUGCCUUGAAGUGAGAGCCCUGUGCAGUCUAUAGACUAACUAUAUACCCGCUUGCUUGUAUGCCUGAAGUGCCAUUAUUGACAAAAAGCCUCACAAAGCAUGAAGAUCCUGCAGCCUAUUUAACACGGGAUAACACCAUCCGACAGUGGCUGGGCCAAAUGAACUUUAGCCCUGCAGUCUGGAUUAGACUUGAGCCUGGCAACCAGUGGACUGCUGAUGGGGUCUUUUGUUGACAAGUUUUAAAGGGCACCCACUUUCAAUUCACCCCUUUCUAGUGCACAAAGGCACAUCAAAUCAGGUCAUGA